rnacentral:rRNA from 4 species
AGACCCGAAACCCGGUGAUCUAGCCAUGGGCAGGUUGAAGGUUGGGUAACACUAACUGGAGGACCGAACCGACUAAUGUUGAAAAAUUAGCGGAUGACCUGUGGCUGGGGGUGAAAGGCCAAUCAAACCGGGAGAUAGCUGGUUCUCCCCGAAAGCUAUUUAGGUAGCGCCUCGUGAAUUCAUCUCCGGGGGUAGAGCACUGUUUCGGCUAGGGGGCCAUCCCGGCUUACCAACCCGAUGCAAACUGCGAAUACCGGAGAAUGUUAUCACGGGAGACACACGGCGGGUGCUAACGUCCGUCGUGAAGAGGGAAACAACCCAGACCGCCAGCUAAGGUCCCAAAGUCAUGGUUAAGUGGGAAACGAUGUGGGAAGGCCCAGACAGCCAGGAUGUUGGCUUAGAAGCAGCCAUCAUUUAAAGAAAGCGUAAUAGCUCACUGGUCGAGUCGGCCUGCGCGGAAGAUGUAACGGGGCUAAACCAUGCACCGAAGCUGCGGCAGCGACGCUGAUGCGUUGUUGGGUAGGGGAGCGUUCUGUAAGCCUGCGAAGGUGGCCUGUGAGGGUUGCUGGAGGUAUCAGAAGUGCGAAUGCUGACAUAAGUAACGAUAAAGCGGGUGAAAAGCCCGCUCGCCGGAAGACCAAGGGUUCCUGUCCAACGUUAAUCGGGGCAGGGUGAGUCGACCCCUAAGGCGAGGCCGAAAGGCGUAGUCGAUGGGAAACGGGUUAAUAUUCCCGUACUUGGUGUUACUGCGAAGGGGGGACGGAGAAGGCUAUGUUGGCCGGGCGACGGUUGUCCCGGUUUAAGCGUGUAGGUGUGUGUUCCAGGUAAAUCCGGUUCACUUUAACACUGAGGCGUGAUGACGAGGCACUACGGUGCUGAAGCAACAAAUGCCCUGCUUCCAGGAAAAGCCUCUAAGCAUCAGGUAACAUCAAAUCGUACCCCAAACCGACACAGGUGGUCAGGUAGAGAAUACCAAGGCGCUUGAGAGAACUCGGGUGAAGGAACUAGGCAAAAUGGUGCCGUAACUUCGGGAGAAGGCACGCUGACACGUAGGUGAAGUGAUUUACUCAUGGAGCUGAAGUCAGUCGAAGAUACCAGCUGGCUGCAACUGUUUAUUAAAAACACAGCACUGUGCAAACACGAAAGUGGACGUAUACGGUGUGACGCCUGCCCGGUGCCGGAAGGUUAAUUGAUGGGGUCAGCGCAAGCGAAGCUCCUGAUCGAAGCCCCGGUAAACGGCGGCCGUAACUAUAACGGUCCUAAGGUAGCGAAAUUCCUUGUCGGGUAAGUUCCGACCUGCACGAAUGGCGUAAUGAUGGCCAGGCUGUCUCCACCCGAGACUCAGUGAAAUUGAACUCGCUGUGAAGAUGCAGUGUACCCGCGGCAAGACGGAAAGACCCCGUGAACCUUUACUAUAGCUUGACACUGAACAUUGAGCCUUGAUGUGUAGGAUAGGUGGGAGGCUUUGAAGUGUGGACGCCAGUCUGCAUGGAGCCGGCCUUGAAAUACCACCCUUUAAUGUUUGAUGUUCUAACGUGGACCCGUGAUCCGGGUUGCGGACAGUGUCUGGUGGGUAGUUUGACUGGGGCGGUCUCCUCCUAAAGAGUAACGGAGGAGCACGAAGGUUGGCUAAUCCUGGUCGGACAUCAGGAGGUUAGUGCAAUGGCAUAAGCCAGCUUGACUGCGAGCGUGACGGCGCGAGCAGGUGCGAAAGCAGGUCAUAGUGAUCCGGUGGUUCUGAAUGGAAGGGCCAUCGCUCAACGGAUAAAAGGUACUCCGGGGAUAACAGGCUGAUACCGCCCAAGAGUUCAUAUCGACGGCGGUGUUUGGCACCUCGAUGUCGGCUCAUCACAUCCUGGGGCUGAAGUAGGUCCCAAGGGUAUGGCUGUUCGCCAUUUAAAGUGGUACGCGAGCUGGGUUUAGAACGUCGUGAGACAGUUCGGUCCCUAUCUGCCGUGGGCGCUGGAGAACUGAGGGGGGCUGCUCCUAGUACGAGAGGACCGGAGUGGACGCAUCACUGGUGUUCGGGUUGUCAUGCCAAUGGCACUGCCCGGUAGCUAAAUGCGGAAGAGAUAAGUGCUGAAAGCAUCUAAGCACGAAACUUGCCCCGA